UACAGAGGGUGCAAGCGUUGUUCGGAAUUAUUGGCGUAAAGCGCGUGUAGGCGGCUUUGCAAGUCGGUGUGAAAGCCCUCGGCUCAACCGAGGAAGUGCGCCCGAAACUGCAGAGCUUGAGUGCCGGAGAGGAUGGCGGAAUUCCCAAGUAGAGGUGAAAUUCGUAGAUAUGGGAGGAACACCGGUGGCGAAGGCGGCCAUCUGGACGGUAACUGACGCUGAGACGCGAAAGCGUGGGGAGCAACAGG
rnacentral:rRNA from 1 species